rnacentral:rRNA from 1 species
CAUGCAAGUCGAACGGAAAGGCCCUUCGGGGUACACGAGUGGCGAACGGGUGAGUAACACGUGGGUGAUCUGCCCUGCACUUUGGGAUAAGCCUGGGAAACUGGGUCUAAUACCGAAUACACCCUGCUGGUCGCAUGGCCUGGUGGGGGAAAGCUUUUGCGGUGUGGGAUGGGCCCGCGGCCUAUCAGCUUGUUGGUGGGGUGAUGGCCUACCAAGGCGACGACGGGUAGCCGGCCUGAGAGGGUGUCCGGCCACACUGGGACUGAGAUACGGCCCAGACUCCUACGGGAGGCAGCAGUGGGGAAUAUUGCACAAUGGGCGCAAGCCUGAUGCAGCGACGCCGCGUGAGGGAUGACGGCCUUCGGGUUGUAAACCUCUUUCAGUAGGGACGAAGCGUGAGUGACGGUACCUAUAGAAGAAGCACCGGCCAACUACGUGCCAGCAGCCGCGGUAAUACGUAGGGUGCGAGCGUUGUCCGGAAUUACUGGGCGUAAAGAGCUCGUAGGUGGUUUGUCGCGUUAUGCGUGAAAACUCACA